rnacentral:rRNA from 1 species
UUAAGCGACUAAGCGUACACGGUGGAUGCCCUGGCAGUCAGAGGCGAUGAAGGACGUGCUAAUCUGCGAAAAGCGUCGGUAAGGUGAUAUGAACCGUUAUAACCGGCGAUGUCCGAAUGGGGAAACCCAGUGCAAUUCGUUGCACUAUCGUUAACUGAAUACAUAGGUUAACGAGGCGAACCGGGGGAACUGAAACAUCUAAGUACCCCGAGGAAAAGAAAUCAACCGAGAUUCCCCCAGUAGCGGCGAGCGAACGGGGAGCAGCCCAGAGUCUGAAUCAGCUUGUGUGUUAGUGGAACGGUCUGGAAAGUCCGACGGUACAGGGUGAUAGUCCCGUACACCAAAAUGCACAGGNUGUGAACUCGAAGAGUAGGGCGGGACACGUGGUAUCCUGUCUGAAUAUGGGGGGACCAUCCUCCAAGGCUAAAUACUCCUGACUGACCGAUAGUGAACCAGUACCGUGAGGGAAAGGCGAAAAGAACCCCGGCGAGGGGAGUGAAAAAGAACCUGAAACCGUGUACGUACAAGCAGUGGGAGCACCUUCGGGUGUGACUGCGUACCUUUUGUAUAAUGGGUCAGCGACUUAUAUUCUGUAGCAAGGUUAACCGUAUAGGGGAGCCGCAGGGAAACCGAGUCUUAACUGGGCGUUAAGUUGCAGGGUAUAGACCCGAAACCCGGUGAUCUAGCCAUGGGCAGGUUGAAGGUUGGGUAACACUAACUGGAGGACCGAACCGACUAAUGUUGAAAAAUUAGCGGAUGACUUGUGGCUGGGGGUGAAAGGCCAAUCAAACCGGGAGAUAGCUGGUUCUCCCCGAAAGCUAUUUAGGUAGCGCCUCGUGAACUCAUCUUCGGGGGUAGAGCACUGUUUCGGCUAGGGGGUCAUCCCGACUUACCAACCCGAUGCAAACUACGAAUACCGAAGAAUGUUAUCACGGGAGACACACGGCGGGUGCUAACGUCCGUCGUGAAGAGGGAAACAACCCAGACCGCCAGCUAAGGUCCCAAAGUCAUGGUUAAGUGGGAAACGAUGUGGGAAGGCACAGACAGCCAGGAUGUUGGCUUAGAAGCAGCCAUCAUUUAAAGAAAGCGUAAUAGCUCACUGGUCGAGUCGGCCUGCGCGGAAGAUGUAACGGGGCUAAACCAUGCACCGAAGCUGCGGCAGCGACACUAUGUGUUGUUGGGUAGGGGAGCGUUCUGUAAGCCUGCGAAGGUGUGCUGUGAGGCAUGCUGGAGGUAUCAGAAGUGCGAAUGCUGACAUAAGUAACGAUAAAGCGGGUGAAAAGCCCGCUCGCCGGAAGACCAAGGGUUCCUGUCCAACGUUAAUCGGGGCAGGGUGAGUCGACCCCUAAGGCGAGGCCGAAAGGCGUAGUCGAUGGGAAACAGGUUAAUAUUCCUGUACUUGGUGUUACUGCGAAGGGGGGACGGAGAAGGCUAUGUUAGCCGGGCGACGGUUGUCCCGGUUUAAGCAUGUAGGCUGGUUNNNNNNNNNNNNNNNNNNNNNNNNNNNNNNNNNNNNNNNNNNNNNNNNNNNNNNNNNNNNNNNNNNNNNNNNNNNNNNNNNNNNNNNNNNNNNNNNNNNNNNNNNNNNNNNNNNNNNNNNNNNNNNNNNUGGAGCUGAGACCAGUCGAAGAUACCAGCUGGCUGCAACUGUUUAUUAAAAACACAGCACUGUGCAAACACGAAAGUGGACGUAUACGGUGUGACGCCUGCCCGGUGCCGGAAGGUUAAUUGAUGGGGUUAUCCGUAAGGAGAAGCUCUUGAUCGAAGCCCCGGUAAACGGCGGCCGUAACUAUAACGGUCCUAAGGUAGCGAAAUUCCUUGUCGGGUAAGUUCCGACCUGCACGAAUGGCGUAAUGAUGGCCAGGCUGUCUCCACCCGAGACUCAGUGAAAUUGAACUCGCUGUGAAGAUGCAGUGUACCCGCGGCAAGACGGAAAGACCCCGUGAACCUUUACUAUAGCUUGACACUGAACAUUGAGCCUUGAUGUGUAGGAUAGGUGGGAGGCUUUGAAGCGUGGACGCCAGUCUGCGUGGAGCCAACCUUGAAAUACCACCCUUUAAUGUUUGAUGUUCUAACGUUGGCCCCUUACCGGGGUUGCGGACAGUGUCUGGUGGGUAGUUUGACUGGGGCGGUCUCCUCCCAAAGCGUAACGGAGGAGCACGAAGGUUAGCUAAUCCUGGUCGGACAUCAGGAGGUUAGUGCAAUGGCAUAAGCUAGCUUGACUGCGAGCGUGACGGCGCGAGCAGGUGCGAAAGCAGGUCAUAGUGAUCCGGUGGUUCUGAAUGGAAGGGCCAUCGCUCAACGGAUAAAAGGUACUCCGGGGAUAACAGGCUGAUACCGCCCAAGAGUUCAUAUCGACGGCGGUGUUUGGCACCUCGAUGUCGGCUCAUCACAUCCUGGGGCUGAAGUAGGUCCCAAGGGUAUGGCUGUUCGCCAUUUAAAGUGGUACGCGAGCUGGGUUUAGAACGUCGUGAGACAGUUCGGUCCCUAUCUGCCGUGGGCGCUGGAGAAUUGAGGGGGGCUGCUCCUAGUACGAGAGGACCGGAGUGGACGCAUCACUGGUGUUCGGGUUGUCAUGCCAAUGGCACUGCCCGGUAGCUAAAUGCGGAAGAGAUAAGUGCUGAAAGCAUCUAAGCACGAAACUUGCCCCGAGAUGAGUUCUCCCUGAGACUUUAAGUCUCCUGAAGGAACGUU